GACGAACGCUGGCGGCGUGCUUAACACAUGCAAGUCGAACGGAAAGGCCCUGCUUUUGUGGGGUGCUCGAGUGGCGAACGGGUGAGUAACACGUGAGUAACCUGCCCUUGACUUUGGGAUAACUUCAGGAAACUGGGGCUAAUACCGGAUAGGAGCUCCUGCUGCAUGGUGGGGGUUGGAAAGUUCCGGCGGUUGGGGAUGGACUCGCGGCUUAUCAGCUUGUUGGUGGGGUAGUGGCUUACCAAGGCUUUGACGGGUAGCCGGCCUGAGAGGGUGACCGGCAACAUUGGGACUGAGAUACGGCCCAGACUCCUACGGGAGGCAGCAGUGGGGAAUAUUGCACAAUGGGCGGAAGCCUGAUGCAGCAACGCCGCGUGCGGGAUGACGGCCUUCGGGUUGUAAACCGCUUUCGCCUGUGACGAAGCGUGAGUGACGGUAAUGGGUAAAGAAGCACCGGCUAACUACGUG
rnacentral:rRNA from 1 species